GGAGAGGUGCGGGAGUGGUUGAUCCGGGCGGUCUCGAAAACCGUUGAGGCUUCGGCCUCCGUGGGUUCGAAUCCCACCCUCUCCGCCA
rnacentral:tRNA from 1 species